rnacentral:rRNA from 1 species
ACGGGUGAGUAACACGUGGGUGAUCUGCCCUGCACUUCUGGAUAAGCCUGGGAAACUGGGUCUAACACCGGAAAUGACCUCCUAUCGCAAGGUGGGUGGUGGAAAGAUUUAUCGGUGCAGGAUGGGCCCGCGGCCUAUCAGCUUGUUGGUGGGGUAAUGGCCUACCAAGGCGACCGGGGUAGCCGACCUGACAGGGUGACCGGCCACACUGGGACUGAGACACCGCCCACACUCCUACGGGAGGCAGCAGUGGGGAAUAUUGCACAAUGGGCGAAAGCCUGAUGCUCCGACCCCGCGUGAGGGAUGACUGCCUUCUGGUUGUAAACCUCUUUCAGCAGGGACGAAUAGCAAGUGACGGUACCUGCAAAACAACCACCGGCUAACUACAUGCCACCAGCCACGGUAAUACCUACGGUGCAAGCGUUGUCCGGAAUUACUACGGCUUAAAGAGUUCGUAGGCUGUUUGUCGCGUCGUUGGUGAAAAACCAGCAGCUCAACUGCUGGCUUGCAGGCCAUACGGGCAGACAUCACUACUGCCAGGGAUACUGAAACUCCUGGUGUAGCCGUCA